CACGUAGGGCGCAAGCGUUGUCCGGAAUUAUUGGGCGUAAAGCGCGCGCAGGCGGCCUCGCGCGCCCGACGUGAAAGCCCCCGGCUUAACCGGGGAGGGUCGUUGGGGACGGCGGGGCUUGAGGGCGGGAGAGGUCGGUGGAAUUCCCGGUGUAGUGGUGAAAUGCGUAGAGAUGUGGAGGAACACCGAUGGCGAAGGCAGCCCCCUGGGCUAACACUGACGCUCAUGCACGAAAGCGUGGGGAGCAAACAGG
rnacentral:rRNA from 1 species